CUAUGCGCCUUGCCAGCCCGCUCAGGUGUGCCAGCCGCCGCGGUAAUACGGAGGAUGCGAGCGUUAUCCGGAUUUAUUGGGCUUAAAGGGUGCGUAGGCGGAAUAUCAAGUCAGCGGUAAAAAUUCGGGGCUCAACCCCGUCGUGCCGUUGAAACUGAUGUUCUUGAGUGGGCGAGAAGUAUACGGAAUGCGUGGUGUAGCGGUGAAAUGCAUAGAUAUCACGCAGAACUCCGAUUGCGAAGGCAGCAUACCGGCGCCCAACUGACGCUGAAGCACGAAAGCGUGGGUAUCGAACAGG
rnacentral:rRNA from 1 species